UAUUGCAUCUGAGAGUAUUUUUGUCUAGGUACGACUGGUAAAGAACCAGUGGUCAGUUACCUUGGAAAAGAUUUGGGCCUCACCAAGUAUGAUCCCAUAGAUAGUCAUGAUCCUUAGACGUAGACGAGACAACAUCCAGCGAGUUCUACUAGAGGGUCAACUAGAAGAGAAAAGAUACAGGGGAAUACCAAGAACAGAGUGGAUAACAAAUAUUAAAGAGUGGACUGAAAUAUUACAAUAUGAAUACCCUGGUAAUAAGAGCACAGAAUAGACAGAAGUGGAGGAUUGUGACAACCAACCUUCCUGAGGAAGACGGCACAUGAUGAUGACGAUGGGAUAGCAAGAACAAUGUAUUUUGCAUGUCACACUUAUGAUGCACAGAAUGCAGACUGCACUAGAGACAAGAAGCAACAUUUGUGUGGCAUUACUUUGUGUUUGUCUCCAAACAGGCCAACCAGUAUCUGAAAGGAGUCAAAAAGGAAAACAGUAUGUUAGUAUUUCCAAAUUCCAUGAUCAGAGAAUCAAGGUUGACACACACUCUAGUUAGUUACUUAUGUUUGUACGUACCAGAGUUUACAGUUUCACUACUCAUUUCUUUUCAACUUGAUCUAGCCUCUUUUGUAUAACAGCCAUACAAUAAUGAGAGCUAUGUGGCUGGGUUCUAGGAUAGUUGUGGACUGCGAUCACGGUAAUAAUCUUUGAGUGCACAGCUAAAUUGUGGUCAAGUGCAAAACCAGUUGAAGCCUGAGUGAACAGGGACAUCCAAAGUUGAUAAGGAUACAUAAUCUACAUGUGAAUACAAAUAAGCCAGUAGAAAUUACACUUGACCACAGCAGUAGUGUUAACUUUACUACUAAAGAGAAUUUUAGGUCAGUUUUGUUGUAACCAGUCUGCUUUAACCUUAAUCUACACUUCUAACCAAGUUUUCUCACCAAACAGAAUUCAUUUCAAAUCUUUUGUACCACUGAUCUGGAAUCUGAAA